GUAGUUCCUGAUUGUUCUAAGACUUUGUAUGUGUUUUCUAAAUUUUCCCCAUAAUUACCCCAUUGCUUGUAUUUUAAAAUAAAAUCUGUAGAAAGAGAAUUUCGAUUGCUUUUCUUCAUAAGAAACUGCUGAGUUUUCAAAGGUGGGAUGACAUUCGGAUGCCUGGGGACGCAGUGAGUCACAGGACGGACAGUGCUGGGCGGUCAUCCUUAGAUCCCUGUGACAACAUCAGCCUUUUCCGUGAUGUUUUCUCGCUGGCCCUUCAUCAGCAUAUUGAUUCUAAAGUUUUAUCGACUCUUCCGAGACACUGCUAGGCAAGCUGUAAGCUCUUUUUGUAAGCCACUGGUCCUUCUUCUCUUUACUCCUUGGCUUUGAUCGAGCUGUUGCAAAUUUCUUAUGUGAAGCCUGGUCCUGUCGAUGAGAUUUCUAGCCUCUGAAGAAUUUGAAUGCCCAGCACUGUGCAGCUUCUUAAACCUCUGCAAAAUCUACAGGCGUUAACUUUGCUGACAUUGUGUCUUCCUCCUCACCCCAUACCUUGGCUCAUGCCCUUCCUGUCUGCAAAGACUUCACCCUCUAUCCAUAAACCAGAUGUUUCCUGGUGUCCAAACACGCGUCAGGCCCCAGGCUCAGUGCUGAAGUUGCAAAGAUGAUGAAGUCAGUCUUCAAAGAGCUCACAGUCUCAAGAGGAAAAGGACUCAACCCUGGUAUCAGUAGAAUCGAAUAAAUGCUCUGGGAAUAGAAGUGAGACUGAACCAGCACAGGAGUGGGGAGGAGAUAUCACCAGCACUGAAGCUAGAGCAAGACACAGGCAAGUGGAAAAGAAGGAGCAAGGCAUUCAAGUCAGAGAAAACUAUGUGCAAAAUUCAGGAGGUGAGGGGCUUAGGGCAUGCAGAAAGGAAACGACCCUAUCUGAUGGCUCCAGAGAAUAUGGUCCCGGUGAGGGAGCAGACCGCAACAAAGGUAUACAGGUUGAAAAAAUUAAAGUGUGUGCAAAUUCUCAAAGUUAAAAAAGAGUUUCUGUCUUUGAAGUGGAAGGAAACAAUAAGAUAUCCCACAAGAAAAGAAUGCUCACCUUGAAUACAAGGAAACUGAAC
rnacentral:lncRNA from 1 species